rnacentral:piRNA from 1 species
GGCCCUCGAGUUCAUGGAACGGUAUAAC